GACUCGUUGGUGAAGUGGUUAACACGUCGCCCUCUCAAGGCGAUAUUCAUGGGUUCAAGUCCCAUACGGGUCACCA
rnacentral:tRNA from 1 species